rnacentral:rRNA from 1 species
CAGCAGCCGCGGUAAUACGUAGGGUGCAAGCGUUAAUCGGAAUUACUGGGCGUAAAGCGUGCGCAGGCGGUUAUAUAAGACAGAUGUGAAAUCCCCGGGCUCAACCUGGGAACUGCAUUUGUGACUGUAUAGCUAGAGUACGGCAGAGGGGGAUGGAAUUCCGCGUGUAGCAGUGAAAUGCGUAGAUAUGCGGAGGAACACCGAUGGCGAAGGCAAUCCCCUGGGCCUGUACUGACGCUCAUGCACGAAAGCAUGGGGAGCAAACAGGAUUAGAUACCCCGGUAGUCCCUGUCUCUUAUAC